rnacentral:pre_miRNA from 1 species
GGUAGAUGAUGCUGAUGAUGCUGAUGAUGAUGAUGAUUAUUAUUAUUAUUGUCGUCAUCAUCAUCAUCAUCAUCAUCAUCAUCAUCAGAA